AUGACACUCAGCAGUGGGCUCAGCUUCAACUCCCUACUAGGAUUAAGUUGCUUUGGGGAAGAAACCUCACCUUCCCCUUGUGUCUGCUUGCUGCCAAACGUUGCAUUGACGUGCAGGAGGUUAAUGCCACCCACAGCUUGGCAGAUUUGUGUGUGUAUGUGUAAAAGGAGAGGGAGACGCACAAAGAAAGAAGUAAACAUGUCCCAUUUACAAAGAAUUAUCAUCUCAACAGCACAGCAGCAGCCAAAUCCUAACAAAAGUAGGACUCCACUGAAGAAGAUAUCAAACAGUAGAGUAAGACACAGCCCUUGCUCUGUGUCUUCUACUCUGCAGCUGAAGGGAGCAGGGAAGAUGGAGCACGGUGGCAUGUUUCCAUUGCGUUUUCCACAAUUCCAUCCUAAGUAACAGAAACAACAACAGGAACUGUGACAAACCAGCAGCCCCCUUUCUGCCCAGUUCUGGGGUUAUCUCCUUUAGACUGGAAACAGAAACUGUCAGGGGCCAGGCAAGUUCUUGACCUGGUAAUUCUACAUAUACGCCGUGCCUCGGCACAAUUGUUGAACCACAAUACUAUUAGGGUAAAGUUGUAUGAAACAGGAGUAUAUUUCAACGUGGAAAUACAGGAAGCAACCAGGUACCUGCCUAUGUGGGCAUCUUUUCUGCUGUCAAAAUUCCCAAUGAGACUCAGAGGCCAUCAGUGUGAACAAGGCCAUGGUCAUCAUUUUAUCGUUAUGGAUCUUAAUAACAUGCUUGUAAUCACUUAUACCCCCAGCCCAGCCUCUCACACUAUCCUAUUUAUCUUGACAAUAACCCCUUCACCCCAGCUUUAAGCAUGUGAGUGCAAACAGAUAAAAACAGGCUCAAAUAGCUUUCCUUUUAAAAGGCAGUCCUGCAGCAGACACUAAAAUUGCCUGCAGGGUCAGCACGCUUAAAGAAGACCAGCUCCAAAGUGACACCCCAGGGACCACCUGCAUGGGAAAACUGCGUCUCUCCAAGGUCAGAUAGUAAUGGGGAGUGAGAGAUAACCUUUUUAUUCUUGCCAGGGAAUUUUGAGUGCUCAGGAAGAGUGAGAGGGAAAUGUCUUCAUUGUUAUUCCUUGUUGUUUUUAUCCUUAGCACUACUAGGAAUGCCAUAUCAUGUGUGUAAGCAAGAGCACUAGUAGUAGUAGCAAUAAUGAUAGUAACAAGGGCAUUAUUCUUAGGAGCUGUAGCCAUGAGUUCAACUUUAUUCUUAUCUGAGAAAUAAAUCUCCUAAAGCACCUCA
rnacentral:lncRNA from 1 species